rnacentral:lncRNA from 10 species
GCUCCAGAGGCAGAUGGCAAUGGAGGUUAAAAGGCACAGCACAGGUGACCAUGGCAGAUUCCUGCUGAUUAAGCCAAACCCAAGCUUCCUGUUUCAUGGAUAAAGACCAUGUCAGUAUCCAUGGCAUACAUGAGGUCUAGGGAACUCCAAUGCUACUGACAGUAGGAGGGAUAGAUGCAUAGGUGAGAGUGGGCAAUUCCCAUUCUCUAGGCACUCCCUGAUUCAUGGGUGCAAGCCGCUUUGGCACUCAUGGUGGUGCCUGCCAAAGUUGCUGGGUCUCUGGGAUGCAAGGAUGGAAGAGGAAAAGAGGGACACUUCCUUCUCUCUCUCAUGUACCCCGGGUAUCUGCUAGGAAGAGAAGGGAACCAGGGAUGUCUGCUCCCCUCUUUCUAGGUGGGUGGCCAUUCGUCUUCAGUGUGUACCCCUUCCAAAUGCAUCCUGAACUGCUGGGACUUCUUUGAAAAGCACCUUCUUUUCCCUGUCUCCUCCUCAGUCCUCUCUUCAGUUAGGCCAUCAAACUCCAAACAAUCAUGCAACCAGAGCCUCUAAUGAUGGCCCCUUCUGCCAGGAACCUUUAAAUUUCCUCUGAGGGAGCUCUGACUGUUGUUUCUCAACAACUGCACCCCCUGUCAGCAGGAAGCAGUUAAGAUCAUCUUCCUCCUUACCUUGAAUCUACCAGCGGUUACAUGUACUUCUUUAGAGGGGUGAAUGAGAGCCAGGUGGGAGGGGGUCCCUGGAGAAAUUCCAGUCAGUCUGCCCAUUGAGGUGGAGCCUUGGGAAGUUCAUGCCCUUUGCAGUGGGGAGGGGCCUGGCCCCACCUCUUCCUAUGUGGAACCCAGUAUUCAAAUAGCAGCAGGAAGCUCUCUAGCAGGGGACUCUGAAACAGGAGGAUGCCUGUCCCCCCUCCUCCUUUUUUUUCCCUUUUCACCCAAUAA